rnacentral:tRNA from 1 species
UUGGUAAAAGGAAGGCUCAAACUCCCCUUGGUGGGAUUACAGCCCACCGCCUAAACUCUCGGCCAUUUUACCU